rnacentral:rRNA from 1 species
UGCGUACCUUUUGUAUAAUGGGUCAGCGACUUAUAUUCUGUAGCAAGGUUAACCGAAUAGGGGAGCCGGAGGGAAACCGAGUCUUAAUUGGGCGUUAAGUUGCAGGGUAUAGACCCGAAACCCGGUGAUCUAGCCAUGGGCAGGUUGAAGGUUGGGUAACACUAACUGGAGGACCGAACCGACUAAUGUUGAAAAAUUAGCGGAUGACCUGUGGCUGGGGGUGAAAGGCCAAUCAAACCGGGAGAUAGCUGGUUCUCCCCGAAAGCUAUUUAGGUAGCGCCUCGUGAAUUCAUCUCCGGGGGUAGAGCACUGUUUCGGCUAGGGGGCCAUCCCGGCUUACCAACCCGAUGCAAACUGCGAAUACCGGAGAAUGUUAUCACGGGAGACACACGGCGGGUGCUAACGUCCGUCGUGAAGAGGGAAACAACCCAGACCGCCAGCUAAGGUCCCAAAGUCAUGGUUAAGUGGGAAACGAUGUGGGAAGGCCCAGACAGCCAGGAUGUUGGCUUAGAAGCAGCCAUCAUUUAAAGAAAGCGUAAUAGCUCACUGGUCGAGUCGGCCUGCGCGGAAGAUGUAACGGGGCUAAACCAUGCACCGAAGCUGCGGCAGCGACGCUGAUGCGUUGUUGGGUAGGGGAGCGUUCUGUAAGCCUGCGAAGGUGGCCUGUGAGGGUUGCUGGAGGUAUCAGAAGUGCGAAUGCUGACAUAAGUAACGAUAAAGCGGGUGAAAAGCCCGCUCGCCGGAAGACCAAGGGUUCCUGUCCAACGUUAAUCGGGGCAGGGUGAGUCGACCCCUAAGGCGAGGCCGAAAGGCGUAGUCGAUGGGAAACGGGUUAAUAUUCCCGUACUUGGUGUUACUGCGAAGGGGGGACGGAGAAGGCUAUGUUGGCCGGGCGACGGUU